GCCUGGUUAGCUCAGCUGGUUAGAACAUGGUGCUGGAAACACCAAGGUUUCAGGUUCGACUCCCAUAUGGGACA